rnacentral:rRNA from 1 species
AUUGAACGCUGGCGGCAGGCCUAGCACAUGCAAGUCGAGCGGAUGAAGGGAGCUUGCUCCUGGAUUCAGCGGCGGACGGGUGAGUAAUGCCUAGGAAUCUGCCUGGUAGUGGGGGAUAACGUCCGGAAACGGGCGCUAAUACCGCAUACGUCCUGAGGGAGAAAGUGGGGGAUCUUCGGACCUCACGCUAUCAGAUGAGCCUAGGUCGGAUUAGCUAGUUGGUGGGGUAAAGGCCUACCAAGGCGACGAUCCGUAACUGGUCUGAGAGGAGGAUCAGUCACACUGGAACUGAGACACGGUCCAGACUCCUACGGGAGGCAGCAGUGGGGAAUAUUGGACAAUGGGCGAAAGCCUGAUCCAGCCAUGCCGCGUGUGUGAAGAAGGUCUUCGGAUUGUAAAGCACUUUAAGUUGGGAGGAAGGGCAGUAAGUUAAUACCUUGCUGUUUUGACGUUACCAACAGAAUAAGCACCGGCUAACUUCGUG